GACGAACGCUGGCGGCGUGCCUAAUACAUGCAAGUAGAACGCUGAAGCGAGGAGCUUGCUCUUCUUGGGUGAGUUGCGAACGGGUGAGUAACGCGUAGGUAACCUGCCUGGUAGCGGGGGAUAACUAUUGGAAACGAUAGCUAAUACCGCAUAACAACAGUUGUUGCAUGACAGCUGUUUAAAAGAUGCAAUUGCAUCACUACCAGAUGGACCUGCGUUGUAUUAGCUAGUUGGUGAGGUAACGGCCCACCAAGGCGACGCUACAUAGCCGACCUUAGAGGGUGAUCGGCCAACCUGGGACUGAGACACGGCCCAGACUCCUGCGGGAGGCAGCAGUAGGGAAUCUUCGGCAAUGGGGGGAACCCUGACCGAGCAACGCCGCGGGAGUGAAGAAGGUUUUCGGAUCGUAAAGCUCUGUUGUAAGAGAAGAACGGGUGUGAGAGUGGAAAGUUCACACUGUGACGGUAUCUUACCAGAAAGGGACGGCUAACUACGUG
rnacentral:rRNA from 1 species